GUGCUCUUUCCUCAUACCACCUGGCCAACAACUGCCUCCACCUGCUCUAAACACCACCACCACCAUCAACGCCCGCCACCCUCGACCUCCAGGUCCGAGCCCCCUGCCUUCCCCGCCAGGCCCGCUCCCCUGCAGGGCCUGCUGCCUAUCUGUGCUCUCCACCCUCACCAUCGGCCCUUCUCUCAUGGCCCACCAGGUCCCUGAAGCCCACACAGGAGCCGAAAGAUCACCUCGGAGGGGAUCAACUGAACAAGGUCCGUUCCUGUGGCCUUUGCCACAGCAACACCAGAGCUGGGUAUACACUGGAUUUUGA
rnacentral:lncRNA from 1 species